UGCUGCCGGUUCCUCAGGCUGGCGGCCAGUCGCUGAGGACUGGCGCCCGGACUCUCGGGCUGCCUGAAGUACUCGUACAGGCGGUUGGUCCACUGACCCAUCGAGCGGAUGUGCAGCCACAGAGUGUCUGAUGGCAAAGGUCACAGCAGUCAGGCUGAGGGCCCACAACAGGCUGAUGUGAUGCGAGACGCACCCGCCUCCUCCGGAGCACUGCUGAUGGUGAACGGAUGCCACUCGUACUUGGCGAUGACGGGAAUGUUUAUGUAGACGUAAUCUCCUGGUUUGAAAUGGAAGAACUGAGGACGUCUGAUCACCAGACCUGAUGGUGAGGUUCUCCAUCACCUCAGGAAACGUCUCCAGUUCGUCCUUCAGCUCCUCGAAGGUGAUUGAUCCGCUCUGGUCUUUGUCGGCCGACUCGAACAGAGCCAGCGUCAGGUCGUCCAGCUUCUCCUCCGGCAGAGAGAUGGCGCUCUCUCGCAGACACGACUUCAGAACCGUCCUCAGCUCGUCAGGGUCGAUGGAGCCGCUGCCUGCGAACACACACAGGCUUUAUGACCUGGAAGACCAGCGAGCAGCUCGCCGACCGCCACUAACAGCUGAAGCUCUCUGGACGUCCUGCUGAUAGACUGCAGCAUCGAUAGGUCGUUACCAUGGUGAUAUCAGGCACAGAGAGAAAAACCAGCGCAACAAACGAGCCAGAUUUCACAGAAAAUUAAAAAACUGAUCCUCUAACGUCUUUUCUUCAGUGACAUGAAAUAAAAAUGUAAAAA